rnacentral:rRNA from 1 species
GAUGAACGCUGGCGGCGUGCCUAAUACAUGCAAGUCGAGCGAACAGACGAGGAGCUUGCUCCUCUGACGUUAGCGGCGGACGGGUGAGUAACACGUGGAUAACCUACCUAUAAGACUGGGAUAACUUCGGGAAACCGGAGCUAAUACCGGAUAAUAUAUUGAACCGCAUGGUUCAAUAGUGAAAGACGGUUUUGCUGUCACUUAUAGAUGGAUCCGCGCCGCAUUAGCUAGUUGGUAAGGUAACGGCUUACCAAGGCAACGAUGCGUAGCCGACCUGAGAGGGUGAUCGGCCACCCUGGAACUGAGACACGGUCCAGACUCCUACGGGAGGCAGUAGUAGGGAAUCUUCCGCAAUGGGCGAAAGCCUGACGGAGCAACGCCGCGUGAGUGAUGAAGGUCUUCGGAUCGUAAAACUCUGUUAUUAGGGAAGAACAAAUGUGUAAGUAACUAUGCACGUCUUGACGGUACCUAAUCAGAAAGCCACGGCUAACUACGUG